ACCACUCUAAAACCCUUCCUACACCCUUCUUCAUCAGGUUCUCUUCUCCAACUUGGAGUCACUGGUGCUACACAGAGAGGGAAAGUGAGACGCUUUGCACACUUCACUCUACCACCAUCGUCGAAGCUACUGAGAGAGAAAAGAAAAACGCCUUCGUCGUCACCUGUACACCACCGUCUUCGCAAUCACCACCGCAGGAUCCCUCUACGCACCUUAGUCUCCGCAAGCUCCAUCUACGACCUGUGCACCGCCAUCUCCACUAAGAGAACAUGAUUUCUAAUCUACAUCCCAGUCAGAUCUGCACCUCAUCGUCUCAGAUUUAUAACCCUUCAUAUUCUCUGGUUUUUGCUCCACCAUCAAAUAAUUUUGUCAUUGGAGAUGCUAAUCUUUUCCUUAACGAAUUCUCCGUCGUCUGCAAUGGAUUUGAUCAGUACAUGAUUGUUUCUUGAUUAAGUGAAAAAAUUAAAUGAAAAGAAGGAUAAAAAGGGUUGAAGAUGAGAUGGUCUUUUUGGUGUAAGAGUUUGUAGGUUUAGAAGACGUAAUUUUUUAAUUGAAGCCAUGGCUAAGGGUUGGUAUGAAGUUUUAGUUUUUGCCCUCGACUAGGAAAUGUUUUUUUGCUGAAUUGCAAAAGUGGUUAUCUAAGUUUUGGGGAUUUGUGCAUUGCAACGCAGGAUUUGAGCUGUAACAAGUAUUAGUUUUCAAUUUGAUUUUGUUUGGUUUGGUGCUUAUUGGAGAUAGUUGUUGGAAGAAGAGGAUAGUGGCUAUUGGAGAUGCUUCCGGCAAAUCGGAAUGAUGCAGGUGGAUGGUGUGGGUGAUGAUGGUGGAGAGGAGACGUGCGUAGGGUUUUAGGCACAAUUCUUUUGCUUUUUUUAAAGGCAUAGAUAAGUAUUUUAGAUAAUAAUCGGUAAAUAAAUACAAAGUAAAAGAAGAAAGAAAAGAAAAGGACAAUAUAGUCAUUUUAUGCCAGUCAAGGAUGAUACGUGCAAUUUUUAACGGUGCGAGGGACGGUCCGAGUUAAUUUUUAAUGGUGGAAGGAGAUGACACGCUUGAGAAGCAUGGAAAAAAAAUUGAAUACAAGGUACAAUAGAUCAUUCAUGAUCUUCUCAGGAUCGCUCCGGUAGUUCACAAGCUUCGGUUGCCACAAGAACUCAGCGACAUACAUCCCUCAUUCCACAUGUCCAACCGUAAAAAGUGUUAGUCCGCCGAAACCCUUGUAGUCCCACUUGACGAAUUUGAGGUAAAUGAGAACCUACACCACAAAGAGGAACAUGUGGGGAUCAUGAACAGGGAAAUCAGCCGAACGAAACAAAUUCAGACACCAAUAGCGAAGGUCUGUUGGAGCGCCAAGCGACGACCCCAAUUCACUUGAGAACACGAGAAUCAGAUGAAACGGAAAUACCCACAACUUUUCCCUAGGUUUACCAAGAAUCCGUUCAAGAUACAAAUUUCGGGACGAAAUUCCCUCUAACAGGGGGAUGAUGUGACGACUAGAAAAUUUUAGGUCAAUCAAGGUCUGAGAGGUCUUGUGUAUAAAUGUACCCAUAAUGUAUAUCUAUGUAACUUUAAUGCAAUAAAACUUUGAAAGCCAAAAAGGGCAUUUUUUGUAUAA